AAGCUCGUAGUUGAAUUUCGGGGUUAGUAGGUUGGUCAUGCCUCUGGUAUGUACUGGUCUCACUGAUUCCUCCUUCCUGAUGAACCGUAAUGCCAUUAAUUUGGUGUUGCGGGGAAUUUGGACUGUUACUUUGAAAAAAUUGAGUGUUUAAAGCAAGCUAACGCCUGAAUACAUUAGCAUGGAAUAAUGAAAUAGGACGUUCGAUCCUAUUUUGUUGGUUUCUAGGAUUGACGUAAUGAUUAAUAGGAUAGUUGGG
rnacentral:rRNA from 1 species